rnacentral:rRNA from 1 species
ACACGACUACAUUAGAUACCCCUGUAGUCCUAGCCGUAAACGAUACUCGCUAGGUGUCGGCCACGGUGCGACCGUUGUCGGUGCCGUAGGGAAGCCGUGAAGCGAGCCACCUGGGAAGUACGGCCGCAAGGCUGAAACUUAAGGAAUUGCGGGGAGCACCACAACGGGUGGAGCCUGCGGUUUAAUCGGACUCAACGCCGGGAAUCUCACCGGAUAAGACAGCUGAAUGAUAGUCGGGAUGAAGACUCUACUUGACUAGCUG